rnacentral:rRNA from 1 species
GUGAGGAAUAUUGGACAAUGGGCGCAAGCCUGAUCCAGCCAUGCCGCGUGCAGGAAGACGCAUCUAUGGUGUGUAAACUGCUUUUGUACGGGAAGAAACACUCCCUCGUGAGGGAGCUUGACGGUACCGUAAGAAUAAGGAUCGGCUAACUCCGUGCCAGCAGCCGCGGUAAUACGGAGGAUCCAAGCGUUAUCCGGAAUCAUUGGGUUUAAAGGGUCCGUAGGCGGUUUAAUAAGUCAGUGGUGAAAGCCCAUCGCUCAACGAUGGAACUGCCAUUGAUACUGUUAGACUUGAAUUACAAGGAAGUAACUAGAAUAUGUAGUGUAGCGGUGAAAUGCUUAGAUAUUACAUGGAAUACCAAUUGCGAAGGCAGGUUACUACGUGUGGAUUGACGCUGAUGGACGAAAGCGUGGGGAGCGAACAGGAUUAGAAACCCCGGUAGUCC